CACACCGCCCGUCACAUCACGAAAGUGGGUGGUACUAGAAGUCGGUGAGCUAACCCGCAAGGGAGGCAGCCGCCCAAGGUAUUACUCAUGAUUGGGGUG
rnacentral:rRNA from 1 species